rnacentral:rRNA from 1 species
CGGGGUGAGUAAUGUCUGGGAAACUGCCCGAUGGAGGGGGAUAACUACUGGAAACGGUAGCUAAUACCGCAUAACGUCGCAAGACCAGAGAGGGGGACCUUAGGGCCUCUUGCCAUCGGAUGUGCCCAGAUGGGAUUAGCUAGUAGGUGGGGUAAUGGCUCACCUAGGCGACGAUCCCUAGCUGGUCUGAGAGGAUGACCAGCCACACUGGAACUGAGACACGGUCCAG